GCGUUGGUGGUUUAGUGGUAAAAUCCAUCGUUGCCAUAAGAUCACCGUCAGCACGUGAGCCUAGCUCGAUGGGCCCCGGGUUCGAUUCCCGGCCGACGCA